rnacentral:rRNA from 1 species
UACGUAGGGUGCAAGCGUUGUCCGGAAUUAUUGGGCGUAAAGAGCUCGUAGGCGGUCUGUCACGUCGGCUGUGAAAACUCGGGGCUUAACCCCGAGCCUGCUUCUGAUACGGGGCAGACUAAGAGGUAUGCAGGGGAGAACGGAAUUCCUGGUGUAGCGGUGAAAUGCGCAGAUAUCAGGAGGAACACCGGUGGCGAAGGCGGUUCUCUGGGCAUUACCUGACGCUGAGGAGCGAAAGUGUGGGGAGCGAAACAGG